GAAGCACUGUUUAAGACUAAUGUUUGUAGUGAAGUCACAGUGAGAGCAUGUUCUUUCUGAUGCAAACACACCCACCUCCUGCCCUCGUGUCCUGCAGGCUGACCUGAGAGCCAGCUGCAUAGCUCAAGCCACAAAGGAACCUAGUUUUUGGAAAGGGUUCAAUGUUUAUGUGGCAGUGCUGAGAACUCUGAAUAUGUUUCCAUCAUAUUCAAAGUAUUGCUACUCUCUGGAUACCUCAGGGUAAUUUCUGACAUUAUGACAAAUAUAAAAACCUGAACGGCUGAACUUCUCUCCCUCCGCUGGCUUCCAUGAUGCACCUGCUCCCUAGUUUUCUUCUGGCCUCUGUGGCUGCUUCACUUCAUUAUCCUUGAUGGUUCCUCUUCCUCCAGUCAUGGCUGAAAUAUUUUUCCUGGCCCGAUCCUCUCUCUAAACAGUCUCUCUGGGAUCCUAUCACAGCUUCAGCUGCCAGUGAUGACUUCAGCAUGUCCACCUUGAGCCAAGAGAACUUCAAAAUCAAGUACGUAUUUUCCCACUGGACAUCUCUUCUCAUGCCCCAUAGGGACCUCAAGCACAACAUGCCCAACACUCACACUGUCCUCCUUCUGCAUUCCCUUGUCCCUCCUUCUGCAUUCCCUUGUCCCUCCUUCUGUAUUCCCAAAUGUCCCUCCUUCUGUAUUCCCAAAUGUCCCUCCUUCUGUAUUCCCAAAUGUCCCUCCUGUAUUCCCAAAUGUCCCUCCUUCUGUAUUCCCAAAUGUUCCUCCUUCUGUAUUCCCAAAUGUCCCUCCUUCUGUAUUCCCAAAUGUCUCUCCUUCUGUAUUCCCUUGUCCCUCCUUCUGUAUU
rnacentral:lncRNA from 1 species